UACGUAGGGUGCAAGCGUUGUCCGGAAUUAUUGGGCGUAAAGAGCUCGUAGGCGGUCUGUCGCGUCGGAUGUGAAAAUCCAGGGCUCAACCCUGGACCUGCAUUCGAUACGGGCAGACUAGAGUUCGGUAGGGGAGACUGGAAUUCCUGGUGUAGCGGUGAAAUGCGCAGAUAUCAGGAGGAACACCGGUGGCGAAGGCGGGUCUCUGGGCCUUACCUGACGCUGAGGAGCGAAAGCGUGGGGAGCGAACAGG
rnacentral:rRNA from 1 species